rnacentral:rRNA from 1 species
GCGGCAACAGCUCAAAUUUGAAAGCUGGCCUUCGGGCUCGCAUUGUAAUUUGUAGAGGAUGCUUUGGGGCAGCCGCCUGUCUAAGUUCCUUGGAACAGGACGUCAUAGAGGGUGAGAAUCCCGUAUGUGACAGGACAUGGCACCCUAUGUAAAGCUCCUUCGACGAGUCGAGUUGUUUGGGAAUGCAGCUCUAAAUGGGAGGUAAAUUUCUUCUAAAGCUAAAUACCGGCGAGAGACCGAUAGCGCACAAGUAGAGUGAUCGAAAGAUGAAAAGCACUUUGGAAAGAGAGUUAAAAAGCACGUGAAAUUGUUGAAAGGGAAGCGCUUGCAAUCAGACUUGUUUUGACUGUUCGGCCGGUCUUCUGACCGGUUUACUCAGUCUGGACAGGCCAGCAUCAGUUUUGGCGGCCGGAUAAAGGCCCAGGGAAUGUGGCUCUCACUUCGGUGGGAGUGUUAUAGCCCUGGGUGUAAUACGGCCAGCCGGGACUGAGGUCCGCGCUUCGGCUAGGAUGCUGGCGUAAUGGUUGUAAGCGACCCGUCUUGAAACACGGACCA